rnacentral:rRNA from 1 species
AUGAACGUUGGCAGCGUGGAUUAGGCAUGCAAGUCGAGCGAGAACCCCGCAAGGGGGGACAGCGGCGAAAGGGACAGUAAUGUGUAGAUUAUCUGCCCUCAGGUCCGGGAUAGCUGCGGGAAACUGCAGGUAAUACCGGAUAACAUCUCCGGAUCAAAGGUGUGAUUCCGCCUGAGGAUGAGUCUGCAUCCUAUUAGCUAGUUGGUGGGGUAAUGGCCUACCAAGGCAUUGAUGGGUAGCAGGUGUGAGAGCACGACCUGCGUCAUUGGGACUGAGACACUGCCCAGACACCUACGGGUGGCUGCAGUCGAGAAUCUUCGGCAAUGGGCGAAAGCCUGACCGAGCGACGCCGCGUGUGGGAUGAAGGCCUUCGGGUUGUAAACCACUGUCAGAGGGGAUGAAAUGCAGGUGGGUUCUCCCAUCUGUUUGACAUAGCCUCAGAGGAAGGACGGGCUAAGUUCGUG